rnacentral:rRNA from 1 species
UUACUUCAGAGUAGGCGAAUAUUGAAUACUUUAUUGAAAUAAGAUAAAUAAGUAAUCAGUUUACAUUUAAUUUAUAUCAAGCUUGGCUCUGACUUUUUAUAUGAUAAGAACUCUGAAAUACACAUGGUUUUUUUUGAAAGAAGCGAGGUGGAAGUUAUUUAAUCUUAUUUAGAAUAUCCUAGAUUUAUUUUUCUUCCAGGGUAUUAUAGCAUUAUAUAAUGUCUUGAAAAGUCCCGCUAACACCAGUGCUGAAGGUUAAAAAGGAGCGAAAGCUUGCUUUAGUCAAGUUUAAUUAGAUCUGGUUAACUUGGUGCCAGCAUCCGCGGUUAAACCAAGAUGAUCAAGUCAUAUAACUUCGGUGAAAAAACAGUUAAAUUAAAUUCAUGUUUAUAAAAUGUCUAUAGAAAAGUAAAAUUUGGUCAUAGACAAGAAAUCUAGCUUAAACUUAAAUAUUGAAGCUGUGAAAGCCUCGAGGGAAACUGGGAUUAGAUACCCCAUUAUUCUUGGAUGUAAACUGAUUUUUAUCUACCAGAGUACUAUGAAUUAAAUAUUUAAAACUUAAAGGGCUUGGCGGUGUUUUAGACCUCUCAGGGGAACCUGUCUCAUAAUCGACAAUCCACGCUAAACCUAACCCUUUUUUGUAUAUCAGCUUGUAUACCGUCGUCGUCAGGUAACUUUUUAGAAAAAAGAAGUUAGCAAAAAAAUAAAAUGGGUUUUCACGUCAGAUCAAGGUGCAGCUAAUAAAAGGGGGAGGAUGGGUUACAAUUAUAAAAUCGUAAUAACGGAAAGUUGUUUGGAACAAAAACAAGAAGGAGGACUUGAAAGUAAGAUAAAAUAUAUAAAUGUUCUGAAUAAGGCUCUGAAACGUGCACACAUCGCCCGUCGCUCUCGCUGAAAAGUGAGAUAAGUCGUAACAUAGCAGGGGUAAUGGAAAUUGUUCCUAAAC